rnacentral:rRNA from 1 species
AGAGUUUGAUCAUGGCUCAGGACGAACGCUGGCGGCGUGCUUAACACAUGCAAGUCGAACGAAGCCUUCGGGCUUAGUGGCGGACGGGUGAGUAACACGUAGGUAAUCUGCCUCUCAAUGGGGGAUACCUGGCCGAAAGGUCAGCUAAUACCGCAUACGCUCGUUGGUUGUGAUACCAACGAGGAAAGAUUUAUCGUUGAGAGAUGAGCCUGCGUCCGAUUAGCUAGUUGGUGGUGUAAUGGACCACCAAGGCGACGAUCGGUAGCUGGUCUGAGAGGACGAUCAGCCACACUGGAACUGAGACACGGUCCAGACUCCUACGGGAGGCAGCAGUGGGGAAUUUUCCGCAAUGGGCGAAAGCCUGACGGAGCAACGCCGCGUGGAUGAAGAAGUCCUUCGGGAUGUAAAGUCCUUUCAGCAGGGACGAGUCGAAGACGGUACCUGCAGAAGAAGCAUCGGCUAACUACGUGCCAGCAGCCGCGGUAAUACGUAGGAUGCAAGCGUUGUCCGGAAUUAUUGGGCGUAAAGCGUACGUAGGCGGUUCGUUAAGUCAGGGGUUAAAGACCGAGGCUCAACCUCGGGAGUGCCCUUGAUACUGGCGGGCUUGAGGACGGCAGAGGAAAGUGGAAUUCCCAGUGUAGCGGUGAAAUGCGUAGAUAUUGGGAGGAACACCAGUGGCGAAAGCGACUUUCUGGGCCGUUCCUGACGCUGAGGUACGAAAGC